AGUGAACGCUGGCGGUAGGCCUAACGCAUGCAAGUCGAACGGCAGCACAGUAAGAGCUUGCUCUUACGGGUGGCGAGUGGCAGACGGGUGAGGAAUACAUCGGAAUCUACUUUUUCGUGGGGGAUAACGUAGGGAAACUUACGCUAAUACCGCAUACGACCUACGGGUGAAAGCAGGGGAUCUUCGGACCUUGCGCGAUUGAAUGAGCCGAUGUCGGAUUAGCUAGUUGGCGGGGUAAAGGCCCACCAAGGCGACGAUCCGUAGCUGGUCUGAGAGGAUGAUCAGCCACACUGGAACUGAGACACGGUCCAGACUCCUACGGGAGGCAGCAGUGGGGAAUAUUGGACAAUGGGCGCAAGCCUGAUCCAGCCAUACCGCGUGGGUGAAGAAGGCCUUCGGGUUGUAAAGCCCUUUUGUUGGGAAAGAAAAGCAGCAGGUUAAUACCCCGCUGUUCUGACGGUACCCAAAGAAUAAGCACCGGCUAACUUCGUG
rnacentral:rRNA from 1 species